rnacentral:lncRNA from 1 species
UCUUGCUUUAGUGCUUGAGCAUUGGAAGUCUCUCGCCUGCGUGCUUGAGAAUUUGGGAAGUCUCAUACUAGAGAGUAUUGAGCAGUUGUAAUCUGUGUGAUUAUUUCUUAGUGGAAAUCUCCUUGGAAGUGCAAGGGGGACUGGACUACUUCCGGUUUGUGGAAGGAACCAGGAUAAUUGCUUGUGUCUCUCUUUCUUUUCUCUGCUCUGUUUUUAUUCCGCUGCAUAUAUGAUUCUGAACAUCACAUCAGAAGCAUUCCCAACCAGCUUCUGAAGUGAUACCAGAAGAAGAA